UUCUGGUUGAUCCUGCCGGAGGCUACCGCUAUUGGAGUUCGAUUAAGCCAUGCGAGUCGAGAGUCUUAGGGACUCGGCGUACCGCUCAGUAACACGUGGGUAACCUGCCCUAUGCUGGGGAAUAACCUCGGGAAACUGAGAAUAAUACCCCAUAGUUCACCACGCCUGGAACGGUGGGUGGAUGAAAGCUCCGGCGGCAUAGGAUGGGCCUGCGACGUAUCAGGUUGUAGGGGGUGUAACGUACCCUCUAGCCAUCAACGCGUACGGGUGUUGGGAGACAUAGCCCGGAGAUGGAUUCUGAGACACGAAUCCAGACCCUACGGGGUGCAGCAGGCGCGAAAACUUGGCAAUGCGAGCAAUCGUGACCAGGGAACUCCAAGUGGCUGGGGUAAUACCCAGUUUUUUCUUGACUCUUCAAAGGUCUUGGAAUAAGGGGUGGGUAAGGACGGUGCCAGCCGCCGCGGUAAUACCGGCGCCUCAAGUGGUAGUCGCUUUUAUUGGGCCUAAAACGUCCGUAGCCGGUCUGGUGCAUUCGUGGGUAAAUCAACCCGCUCAACGGGUUGAAUUCUGCCAGCACGGCCAGACUUGGGACCGGGAGAGGUGUGGGGUACUCUCACGGUAGGGGUAAAAUCCUGUCAUCCUGAGAGGACC
rnacentral:rRNA from 1 species